rnacentral:piRNA from 1 species
UGUCAGGUCAGACUCACGGUUAGUGUCCUC